rnacentral:rRNA from 1 species
UAAGGAAUAUUGGUCAAUGGACGCAAGUCUGAACCAGCCAUGCCGCGUGAAGGAUGAAGGUCCUCUGGAUUGUAAACUUCUUUUAUCCGGGACGAAAACGGGAUUUUUAUCUCAAUUGACGGUACCAGAGGAAUAAGCACCGGCUAACUCCGUGCCAGCAGCCGCGGUAAUACGGAGGGUGCGAGCGUUAUCCGGAUUUACUGGGUUUAAAGGGUGCGUAGGUGGGCUUAUAAGUCAGUGGUGAAAUCUCCGAGCUUAACUUGGAAACUGCCGUUGAUACUAUAGGUCUUGAAUUAUCUGGAGGUAAGCGGAAUAUGUCAUGUAGCGGUGAAAUGCUUAGAUAUGACAUAGAACACCAAUUGCGAAGGCAGCUUACUACAUAUAAAUUGACGCUGAGGCACGAAAUCGUGGGGAUCAAACA